ACUGUGUGGUGACGUCACAUCAUGGCGCGCUACAUAUUGUCUCAAAACUGCAUCUAUCGGUUCACUCAAGGAUAUAAAAACAGUCAGCGACUCAGCAGCAGAUACAAAUGUUGUGGAUGCACUAACUUCUCGAAUACAUGUGUGAUACACGAUAGACAGAAUCAGCGUUUCACAGUUACUCUUGACUGCGGCGGAGCAGUGAGCAGUGCAGUGCUGAAAUACAGUCAGUCAGGAUCAGCAGGUGGAGUUGAUCUCUACAGAGGUUCCUGAAUCACACAGGGGUAAAGGCUGCUCUGGAUUUCGUUGUUGAAGAAAAGUUGGCAGUGAGGAUAUCCUGUUGGUACAUUAGAAAAUAUGUUGAUGAAAAUCCACAUCUUGGAUACCAGGCUUACAUUGAAAAUAAAUAAAGGCAGAAUUAAACAAUAUCUUAACAGAAGGUUUUACAUACAUCUUUCCUCCUUUACAACCUGACUCCUUGCAGUUUUAUGACAGGAUGAACAGAGCAGAUGUCAGAGCCUACAAAAGAGGUACAAACAAGUAAACAAACGGUUGAACGUACGAAUGAAUGAAGCCAUGCAUAAAUACAGUCCAAACAGUGUUGAAAUAGGCUGUGUCAUAUAUUUUAUUCUAAACUUUUCUGCCAUCCAGACUUGUUAACUUCACCCUCUAUUAAAAAUAUAGAUUAAUCAAGUAACCAUCUCAGUGCCUAGUAACCACUCUAUUGCUUAGAAAAACCCUAGCACUGAAAAUCAUGUUGUUACUAGUGUUUUUUUUUUAUUUUUUAAAAGGCCUACUGAAUGUAAUUCAUGAGGGUGUUAUUCAGUGAUGCCAUGUGUACAUUUCAGACAUCUUGGAUAUUAGGAUAAUUAAGUGAGAUCAUUCUGCUGGAAUUAUUAGGCAAAUUAUUGAACCCACGGUCUUCAUCAUCUGAAACACAAGAUUAUUGUGUUCCAAAUCACAAUGUCCUACAUUUCAAAAAGCCAUGAGUAAAAUAGGACUUUAAUUUUUAUUAAUUUUUUUGUAAAUGUAAUUUCACAGUUUAAAUUCACAUUUUAUUGCAUGAAUACAUCACAAACAUCAGGUGUCUCACAUUGCUCUAAUUCACACGUCAAUUUAUCUGUCAGUUAGAAAAGUGAUUUAUUUAGA